rnacentral:rRNA from 1 species
UACAGAGGGUGCAAGCGUUAAUCGGAAUUACUGGGCGUAAAGCGUGCGUAGUCGGUUAUCUAAGUCGGGUGUGAAAUCCCCGGGCUCAACCUGGGAAUUGCAUUCGAUACUGGAUAGCUAGAGUUCGGCAGAGGGAAGCGGAAUUUCGGGUGUAGCGGUGAAAUGCGUAGAUAUCCGAAGGAACAUCAGUGGCGAAGGCGGCUCACUGGCCCGGUACUGACGCUGAGGUGCGAAAGCGUGGGGAGCAAACAGG